rnacentral:rRNA from 1 species
AUGAUAACUUCGGAUGGUUGGAGACAGCGCUUCAGAGUUGAUGCUGCUAACAUUUCAGUAGAUCCAAGUUAUUCCGAUUUACUGCCUCAGCUGUGGAAUGGCAAAACUGGAGAACCAGAACUGAAGAGACUGAUUCUCUAUACCCCCACACUGAGCAAGCACGACGACAAUCUUCUAUACAUGAUGUCUAAGGUGAACAAGGAAGACGACAAGGCCUGGGUCAUCACCGUCGACAUGAAACACGAGACCGUGGAGGCAAUCGCCCCGUAUUCUACCAAAGGGCGCAAGCUCACUUCAUGGCACUGUCCAUGCACCUUUCCCAAGUACAUCGACCCGACGACCUCAGGGGAUCACGUGGCCAUGCACUCUAAGAGGUAA